AUGUUAACGAAUUAAAACAUGUUGUUAUCCAAAAAAGAUAUGUUGAAAACCCGAAACAGCGUUUAUUGUAGUGUAUUAUCAUUUAUUGCACAUUGUAACUAAAACAUCUGUUUGUUAAAAAUUUGUAGCUACGAUAUGCGGCCGGGACGAAAGACAUGUUGGAGAGGUACUUUAAGGGAGAAGACUUCCCUGCUCAGAAUUACAUUGUCAAGGACGGUGAACUUGCUCCUCAGUACCGGUAAGCUUUUGAGGAGGUGAGAUUGGGAAGAUGAUGAGAAACGACCUCAACGUUCAAGAAAACAAAUAAAAAAGUAUUUCGACUUUGCUAAGUCGAAUAACUUGGCCAUCUUUUCGUUUAGUUUUUGUUAUUUCAUAAGCAGA
rnacentral:lncRNA from 1 species